rnacentral:rRNA from 1 species
AGAGUUUGAUCCUGGCUCAGGACGAACGCUGGCGGCGUGCCUAACACAUGCAAGUCGAACGAAGCUUGAUUUCUGAUUUUUUCGGAAUGACGAAUGAUAUGACUGAGUGGCGGACGGGUGAGUAACGCGUGAGCAACCUGCCCUUCGGAACGGGAUAGUGUCUGGAAACGGACAGUAAUACCGUAUAACAUAUAUUGAUCGCAUGGUCGAUAUAUCAAAACUGAGGUGCCGAAGGAUGGGCUCGCGUCUGAUUAGAUAGUUGGUGGGGUAACGGCCUACCAAGUCGACGAUCAGUAGCCGGACUGAGAGGUUGAACGGCCACAUUGGGACUGAGACACGGCCCAGACUCCUACGGGAGGCAGCAGUGGGGAAUAUUGCACAAUGGGGGAAACCCUGAUGCAGCAACGCCGCGUGAAGGAAGACGGUUUUCGGAUUGUAAACUUCUGUUCUUAGUGAAGAAUAAUGACGGUAGCUAAGGAGCAAGCCACGGCUAACUACGUGCCAGCAGCCGCGGUAAUACGUAGGUGGCAAGCGUUGUCCGGAAUUACUGGGUGUAAAGGGAGCGUAGGCGGGAUGCCAAGUCAGCUGUGAAAACUAUGGGCUUAACUUGUAGACUGCAGUUGAAACUGGUAUUCUUGAGUGAAGUAGAGGUUGGCGGAAUUCCGAGUGUAGCGGUGAAAUGCGUAGAUAUUCGGAGGAACACCGGUGGCGAAGGCGGCCAACUGGGCUUUAACUGACGCUGAGGCUCGAAAGUGUGGGGAGCAAACAGGAUUAGAUACCCUGGUAGUCCACACUGUAAACGAUGAUAACUAGGUGUGGGGGGUCUGACCCCUUCCGUGCCGCAGCUAACGCAAUAAGUUAUCCACCUGGGGAGUACGACCGCAAGGUUGAAACU